UGAAUUACUAAAAGGAAACAUCUGUGACUUGAAUUUACCUUUAUGCCAAAAGCCUUUACUACAAGAGUUAUUUUCUUUUUUUAUUAUACUUUGUUCUUUACAUUCCUAUUGGUUAAGAGAGUUCCAGAAGUCAGCUAACCGCACGCGAUAUAAGACCAUGCCCUCUGGUCUCUUUACAGACGAGUCUCGGCUGCUCCUGCAGCCUCAGCUCCGCCGGUCCCGUUACCAAACGCAGCCCGAGCGCGUCAGUGCCAGCGCUGAGCGCUCCCGGGCACGGAGCGGCACUUGUGCGUGUUUAAAGGGCGCAAUCACAGCCCUGCUCCGACAACACGCACAAAUUCACCGGACAAACGAGAGGUUUUUUUCUUAAAAUAGCAAUUAUUGGCUUUCGCAAAGCACCCUGACAGCUUCAGUCCCGGGCCAAAGGCUCGCUCACGAGGCGCUGGGCAAACCCUUUCCGACGGCCUUUUUACUUUUUAUAGGCAUGGGCUUCACGUCACGCCUUUUUGCUUUGCCUCCCCACCAAGGGUGCAUCCACAGCCAAGCAGCGGCUCUGAGGGCGCAAAACUCUGCGUGACACCCGCAAGAACCCUGAGCAAACAGUUUUCCCGGCCGCCGCCCGGCCCCUCCGCAACUCCGCGCCGGGAGCAGCCGCACCGCUGCCGGAACGCGGCACGGGGUCCGCCGUGACCGAGCCGAGCGGCGGGGACAGGGCGAAGGGGAGGACGCAGACUCUUUAAAGCAAACCAAGGAUGAAAAGAACUGAAAAGAAGUUGGCUGAAGUGCUCUGUGGGACUUUAAAGAAAUAUCUUCAAAAAUCUGUUCAGAACUUCUGAAAGCUUUCAAAAGUUUUGUGAUUGUGCAAAAAAUAAAUGGUGAAAAAAUUAUCCCUAAGAGACUUGACAACUGAAAAUACAUGUUCAUAGUCAAGGAACUGAACCAUCCAACAAAUUGGAGAGCAGUAAGGAAGCUCUUCCCUCUGUUCAGCAAAGCUGUGAUGAAUUGACUGAGUUGUCACUAUUUUACACAUCCUAUGCUUUAUGUCACAUUAGUUAUUCCAGUGAGCAGAAGUCUACUCAAGAAAUUACCAGCAUAGCAGACCCGAACUAGCAUUCCUGUUCACUCUAGAAAGCUUUAAUUUUCUAGCACCAUGUGGAUGCAGACAGCACACACAACUACACCCCUGAUUACAGAGAAGAUUUAAGGCAAAACUGAUGAAGCACAGACAGAUUUACAUUGUCCAUGCAUAACGUGCAGCUCAGACUUAUCUGCUCUUUUCCAAACCACUGUCUCCUAGCUUUAUUUUAAAAUCACAAACAAAUUAUUACUGAAUAAAUGUAUUUUUCCUUCCUCUAUGUGAAACAUUAUCCCUAACAUAAAAUCAAAUAUCUGUUAAUUUCUUUUUUUAUUCACAGACUGCUCCUUACAAAUUUAAGUGACAGGGCAGUUUGAAGGCCUUCCCUUGGUAUUUUGGCCACAUGUCCUAAAACAGAAGAAAUUUGAAAUAAUGCUUAUUUUUCUAUCUAUUUAUAGAUGCCUCUGGUUUUGCCUCAGAAACAAAAAUGUCUCUUGUCAUAUCCGAAAUAUACAAAUUGGGAAACCUUCCAUCUCUUAGUUUUUCUAUCGAAUUAGCAUCUUUAAAAAGGCUUCUGCUGGAGAACUUCCUUUUCCUAGGAUGCCAUUUGAAUGGUUAGCAGCACAUUUAUCUACUAGAAAUAAUGAUAUAAAAUAUAUUUGAAUUAAAACAGAUUUUUGACAUUUCUGUUCAAAUCCAAUUUUCUGUGUAUUCCCUGAAAACUGAACACUUAAAAGUACUGGGAUAUAAAUCAGUCACUGAGGAAAGUCCUGCCCUGCCAUAAGGCUUGCCUUAGGAGAACUGAUAUUUCAAUCAGCUAUUAAGGAAAAUAUAAUGAUAUUUUAUAUCUACCACUAACUCCAGAAAUGAUGAUCAGAGCAAUAAAUAUUUACAGCUAUCAAGAGUUAGAAAUAUGGAAAGCUUUGUAGGGACAGGAGGAAAGGCUGGAGACACCAGGCAGGAAAGUGAAAAUGAAGAUGCUGAAAUCAGACUGCCAAGCAAUAUGAAAGGGCAGAACAGCAAUGGGGUGCACAAAGGAGCUGCUGGGAUCUGAGAACAUUUAUUUAAGUGUAGGAAGAAAAUGUUUCAGAACAGAAAGAGAUAAUAUUUAAUUUUUUUAGUCCCCGUGGGGAUUUACCUUCUGACACAAAUUUAUUUUGCCUAAGGCCUGCAAGCCUUGCUGCUAAAAGCUUUAUGCAACAAGCAGUGAAAAUUUUAUUCAUAUCAAUGAAGUUAAUAGAACCAUUCCAACACUGACACUUUAAGAAAUUGAAAGAGGAAAUAAAGUUAGGAGCAUCCACUUCAAUUUGUAUCUGUGAUCCUCUGUGCUUGCCAUGCCAAUAAGCACAUUUGGUCUCUUGAAGGAAAUCUUAUUAUCAUACUGUCUCUCCCAGCAAUGUAUUUUGAGUACAUUCCUAUGAACAGGACAGGAGGGCACACAGCUGGAGAUGUAGAAAUGUCAGGUUGUCAGCCAUGAGAUGGGACAGCUCAAAGUCUACCCUACCUCUACUGUUAGUAAAAUGUUAAUAAUUUAAUGAAGAUUUCAAUGUAUCCAAUGGUAAUAUGUCCCUGAUCGUCAUUCCACAAGGGGAAGAAAAUAGAUGGUUUAAUCCCAAGUUAAUGUUGGUAUUUUAACUCACUUCUCCCUUGCUUUAUGCUGAAGGUAUAAGAAGUGUGAGGAGAACAUUCUGCUCCUGGAUUCACACUCCAGGAACACACUCUGCACUGGACUUCCUGCUCUUCUUUCACAAUUACUUACCUGGAAAUCUGAAGCUCUAUCAUUCACUGUACAUUCAAUAUAUACCAAAUAAAAGCAUAUCAACUUCAGCAUUAUAAAACCUGACAAGAACCUUUAUUGCACAGCUUUACUACAUUUGUAAUGCCUGUAUAAAAUAGCAGCUGUAUAUCACCUUUAUUUAAUAAUAAUAACGAACCUUCUUAACAUUAGUUAUCUACUAAAUAGUGAAAUUUUUUGCCAGUUUAGUGUUUACACUGGCAUUAAAAUGACAGAGGAUAAUUUACUGAAACAUUCCCUUUUCUUUGCUCAUUUUUUUCACUAUAGUUUGGAGACUAGAGGAACUCCAGGGAGCUGGCAAUUUGAAAAAUAAAGGUCAAUUUUUGUUAACGAAAGCAGAAUUUACAUGGAAGGAAGAAAUUUGCAUGAAAAGCUGGCCCUCUGUGAACUAAUUGCUCAUUACUCUCAUCAUCCCUUAGGAAAGAUGUGGAUAAUCCUAUUU